UAAGUUGCAGGGUAUAGACCCGAAACCCGGUGAUCUAGCCAUGGGCAGGUUGAAGGUUGGGUAACACUAACUGGAGGACCGAACCGACUAAUGUUGAAAAAUUAGCGGAUGACCUGUGGCUGGGGGUGAAAGGCCAAUCAAACCGGGAGAUAGCUGGUUCUCCCCGAAAGCUAUUUAGGUAGCGCCUCGUGAAUUCAUCUCCGGGGGUAGAGCACUGUUUCGGCUAGGGGGCCAUCCCGGCUUACCAACCCGAUGCAAACUGCGAAUACCGGAGAAUGUUAUCACGGGAGACACACGGCGGGUGCUAACGUCCGUCGUGAAGAGGGAAACAACCCAGACCGCCAGCUAAGGUCCCAAAGUCAUGGUUAAGUGGGAAACGAUGUGGGAAGGCCCAGACAGCCAGGAUGUUGGCUUAGAAGCAGCCAUCAUUUAAAGAAAGCGUAAUAGCUCACUGGUCGAGUCGGCCUGCGCGGAAGAUGUAACGGGGCUAAACCAUGCACCGAAGCUGCGGCAGCGAACGUAUCACCCAAGACAACUUUACGGAGUUGACGAUUGACGGAGCGAAGCGACGUCAAAGCGUUCAUUAAAGUCGAGUUGGCUUAGGGAUACGUUCGUUGGGUAGGGGAGCGUUCUGUAAGCCUGUGAAGGUGUGUCGUGAGGCAUGCUGGAGGUAUCAGAAGUGCGAAUGCUGACAUAAGUAACGAUAAAGCGGGUGAAAAGCCCGCUCGCCGGAAGACCAAGGGUUCCUGUCCAACGUUAAUCGGGGCAGGGUGAGUCGACCCCUAAGGCGAGGCCGAAAGGCGUAGUCGAUGGGAAACGGGUUAAUAUUCCCGUACUUGGUGUUACUGCGAAGGGGGGACGGAGAAGGCUAUGUUGGCCGGGCGACGGUUGUCCCGGUUUAAGCGUGUAGGUGUGUGUUCCAGGUAAAUCCGGUUCACUUUAACACUGAGGCGUGACGACGAGGCACUACGGUGCUGAAGCAACAAAUGCCCUGCU
rnacentral:rRNA from 1 species